rnacentral:rRNA from 1 species
CACAGGCUGUUGCUGGCCCUCAAGGGUAUGUGCACGCUUGUCAUCUUUAUCUCUCCAACUGUGCACAUAUUGUAGACCUGGAGUCCCUGUUGAUUCAUUUCGAGUUGGGACUGCUGUGCUUUGUACUUCAGAGUCAGCUUUGCCUUUUUCAUACCCAGGUCUAUGUCAUUUUCACAACCUCUUGAAUGUGUUUAGAAUGUUGAAUCAGGUCUUUUUGUACCUAUAAAGUUAAAUAUACAACUUUCAGCAACGGAUCUCUUGGCUCUCGCAUCGAUGAAGAACGCAGCGAAAUGCGAUAAGUAAUGUGAAUUGCAGAAUUCAGUGAAUCAUCGAAUCUUUGAACGCAUCUUGCGCUCCUUGGUACUCCGAGGAGCAUGCCUGUUUGAGUGUCAUUUAAAUUCUCAACCACAUCAAUUUAUUUGGUGAGGCUUGGAUGUGGGGGUGUUUUUGCGGGCUUCUGUAAAUUUGAAGUCGGCUCCCCUAAAAUGCAUUAGUGGUAUCUGAGCAGAAGAAACUACUACAGGUGUGAUAAUUAUCUACGCCUCAGUAUYCUGCACAAUCAGAUUGUGCUGCUUCUAACGAGUGGAGAUUCCUUUUGGGGGACCACAUUUGUUGAAUUUGACCUCAAAUCAGGUAGGACUACCCGCUGAACUUAAGCAUAUCAAUA